GAUGAACGCUGGCGGCGUGCCUAAUACAUGCAAGUCGAGCGAACAGACGAGGAGCUUGCUCCUCUGACGUUAGCGGCGGACGGGUGAGUAACACGUGGAUAACCUACCUUUAAGACUGGAAUAACUUCGGGAAACCGGAGCUAAUACCGGAUAAUAUAUUGAACCGCAUGUUUCAUUAGUGAAAGAGGGUUUUGCUGUCACUUAUAGAUGAAUCCGCGCCGCAUUAGCUAGUUGGUAAGGUAACGGCUUACCAAGGCGACGAUGCGUAGCCGACCUGAGAGGGUGAUCGGCCACACUGGAACUGAGACACGGUCCAGACUCCUACGGGAGGCAGCAGUAGGGAAUCUUCCGCAAUGGGCGAAAGCCUGACGGAGCAACGCCGCGUGAGUGAUGAAGGUCUUCGGAUCGUAAAACUCUGUUAUUAGGGAAGAACAAAUGUGUAAGUAACUAUGCACGUCUUGACGGUACCUAAUCAGAAAGCCACGGCUAACUACGUG
rnacentral:rRNA from 1 species